rnacentral:rRNA from 1 species
UGGGCGCAGCCUGAUCCAGCCAUGCCGCGUGUGUGAAGAAGGCCUUCGGGUUGUAAAGCACUUUCAGUGAGGAAGAACGCCGGUCGGUUAAUACCCGGCCGGGGAGACAUCACUCACAGAAGAAGCACCGGCUAACUCCGUGCCAGCAGCCGCGGUAAUACGGAGGGUGCGAGCGUUAAUCGGAAUUACUGGGCGUAAAGCGCGCGUAGGCGGCGUGAUAAGCCGGUUGUGAAAGCCCCGGGCUCAACCUGGGAAUGGCAUCCGGAACUGUCAGGCUAGAGUGCAGGAGAGGAAGGUAGAAUUCCCGGUGUAGCGGUGAAAUGCGUAGAGAUCGGGAGGAAUACCAGUGGCGAAGGCGGCCUUCUGGACUGACACUGACGCUGAGGUGCGAAAGCGUGGGUAGCAAACAGGAUUAGAUACCCUGGUAGUCCACGCCGUAAACGAUGUCGACUAGCCGUUGGGGUCCUUGAGACCUUUGUGGCGCAGUUAACGCACUAAGUCGACCGCCUGGGGAGUACGGCCGCAAGGUUAAAACUCAAAUGAAUUGACGGGGGCCCGCACAAGCGGUGGAGCAUGUGGUUUAAUUCGAUGCAACGCGAAGAACCUUACCUACCCUUGACAUCGUGCGAAGCCGGAAGAGAUUCUGGUGUGCCUUCGGGAGCGCACAGACAGGUGCUGCAUGGCUGUCGUCAGCUCGUGUUGUGAAAUGUUGGGUUAAGUCCCGUAACGAGCGCAACCCUUGUCCCUAUUUGCCAGCGAUUCGGUCGGGAACUCUAGGGAGACUGCCGGUGACAAACCGGAGAAGGUGGGGGACGACGUCAAGUCAUCAUGCCCUUA